AUGCAAAGGCAGGGGCUGGCUCCUCCUUAGGGGUGAGGCAAACCUUAGCCCUCCAGUUUCUGUAGCACCAAGGCUAGCCUUGACCUGUGGGGCAGGGUGUUUGUCGCCAUUCUGACAACUGCACUCCUGGAGGGGUCUUUGCUAUAGAAAUGCUUGCACUGGGCACUUUCUGUUAGUUGCCCGGUACAAACUUAUAUGCAUUCUUUAUUAGCGUUAACCGCCUUACCCUGGAGCAGGCGUGUUCCUCCAUAAGCUCCUCAGUCCCCCGAGCCAAAAGGAGCAAACUGUUACAACCGCAGGCAGGCGCAACCCCUCCCCACCCCUCUCCUCAUUAACACUUCCUCUCGAGGUGUGAGGGAAGCUGUUUGUGGCUGAUGCAGACAGAGGCUGUGCUCAGGGCGAAGCUUCUUCAGUAGGCUCACUCCCUGCUGGGGGAGGGCUGGGGAAUCUGAACACCCACACAGCCGCCUGCCCCUCACUGAGCUGCCGUCCCACGAAUCCUAUUGGCAGGGAUAACUUGGUGGAGAGAGAAUGUAGAGUUAGUUUUGAUCCUGAACUGCCUGGAGAGCCAGAAAUGGAGGGGAUGAUUUGAGCAUGUGCUGGAAACUCAUAGAAGGCAGGGAGAACAGAACAGCAGAAGAGAAAAUGCUGCAGGGCUUCCUCUCUGGCCCUGGAGUCCCAGGACCCCCACAAGUGGGUCAGCAGAUCUACUCUGGGUGAACCAUAACCCCCCGCACCUCUGAGGAAGAAGAGCAGGCCCAGGGAAAUUGCUCAAGUCUUCGCCCCUUCCUAUGCUCUCCUCUGCAUCCAACUCAUUACCUCAUCUCUGAAAUCACGCUUAUGACUGACAGUGCUGGGAAGGGAUCCAGUCUCUCCUCCCACCCCCACCUUCCUAAACUUUGUUCUCAAGCAUGAUAAACCCUCACUCUCUCAUAGUACCCCAAAGCUUUCUCGCACAAUCUCACAGCUCACCCUGUGGUUUUUUCCUGCAAAACAGCACCCGUUUCACUAGGAGGCAGUCCACUCCACUUCUCUCUGCAGACUCAGCAAAAGGGAUCCCUCGCUCGCAGAGACAGUCCUGGCAGACCCUGGCUCAGCUGGACCACACCCUCCCCCCUACCCUUGGAGUGACGGACUUGAGGACAUUCUUUUGUCGCUGGGAGAUGAGCCCCAAGGGGGCUUUUUCUCGGGUGCCUGCCUGGUUUGCAACCUGCCUUUGACACGUGUUGGCCUGCGGGGUCCCAGCCCCUCCUGUGAGGGGUGAGGGAAGGGUUGUACCCUAAGGAUGUGGAGAAGGAUAAGCUGCAAAUCUACCGGCCUCUCUCUCUAUCGAAGGGCAAGGCAUGUUCCCAGGGAUCCUGCUUCUGGUGACAAUGGUGGCUGAGGGGAGGAAGGGGCUGUGGAGGGGCUGGAUGGUGGUGGGUCUUAGGUGUUUGCUCUUUGAAAACAAAGCAUAACUAGGGCAUGCCUCCUGCCUCUAGGCUUUUCCCAUUGGAGAGAAUCCCCACUUGGAUCUCAGAGUUUGGGGUCUUAAUAACAGUAGUUUGUAUUCUCCAGGCAGCGCCAUGCAGCCCUUCACAUGAGUGAAUCAGUGUGGUAUAUAGGCCUGAGCCCUGGGCUGGGAGAUUGCAGGCCUGGGUUCUAGUCUCACGGUUGCUAGUUUACUCCAACUAACCACCUUCUCUAUGCCCUAACUUUCCUAUUGGUAAAAUGGGAGAGAAACACUUUGGAGUGUUUGGGCAAUGAAAUGAGAUAAAAGAGAAAGGCAGAAGAGAUUCCCAUGUGUUCCACGCUAAUUUUGGUAACUGAACUUUAACUCAGUAAAAAUAUUUUUAUUAUUACGUAAGAAAUGGAAAAACAUUAUAGAAGUUCAAAAAAGUUUUUUAAAAUCACACAUAAUUUUACCAUCCUGAUGCAGUUAUUUUCUCUUUCCUUUCAGAUUUCACAGUGAUAUCCUCAAAUAAUUUUGCAUAAUAUGAGUACUAUUUUGUACUUUAAUUUUUCACAUAAAUGUGUCGCUUGGUAUCUGUAACCUUCAUUUUCAAUGCCUGCAAAUUAUGGGAUCUAACAUGUUUUUAUGCUUUAUUUAACUAUUCAAACAGUACUUGACAUUUGAGCUACUUUCAAGUUUUCAUUAUAAUAAAUAAUGUUACAAUUAGCA
rnacentral:lncRNA from 1 species